UACAGAGACUGCAAGCGUUAUUCGGAUUCACUGGGCGUAAAGGGUGCGCAGGCGGUUGGGUGUGUCAGAUGUGAAAUCCCGAGGCUUAACCUCGGAACUGCGUCUGAAACUACUCGACUAGAGUACUGGAGAGGGAAACGGAAUUCACGGUGUAGCAGUGAAAUGCGUAGAUAUCUGGAGGAACACCGGUGGCGAAGGCGGCAUCCUGGACCAAUUCUGACGCUGAGGAGCGAAAGCCAGGGGAGCAAACGGG
rnacentral:rRNA from 1 species